CACGGGGGGAGCAAGCGUUGUUCGGAAUCACUGGGCGUAAAGGGCGUGUAGGCGGUCAGGUAAGUGGGAUGUGAAAGCCCUCGGCUCACCCGAGGAUCUGCAUCUCAAACUGCCUGGCUUGAGUAUGGGAGAGGAUGAGGGAAUUCCUGGUGUAGCGGUGAAAUGCGCAGAUAUCAGGAGGAACACCGGUGGCGAAGGCGGAUCUCUGGGCCGUAACUGACGCUGAGGAGCGAAAGCAUGGGGAGCGAACAGG
rnacentral:rRNA from 1 species